CGCUCCCUGGGCGUGGUCCGGGCGUGGCCCCUCAGGCACUCGGUGGGCGUGGCCUGCUCCCUCAGUCGUUUGGUGGGCGUGGUCCGGGCGUGGCCCCUCAGGUGUUCGGUGGGCGUGGCCUGCUCCCUCUGACGCUUGCUGGGCGUGGUCCGGGCGUGGCCCCUCAGGUGUUUGGUGGGCGUGGCCCGGCCCUGGCGCUCAGUGGGCGUGUCCCAGUGGGCGUGGUCCCUCAGGUGGGCGUGGUCCCUCGGGUGGGCGUGGUCACUCCAGCUCUCAGGGGGCGUGUCCAUUGGCUCAGUGGGCGUGUCCCGGUGGGCGUGGUCUCCCGGGUGGGUGUGGUCCCCCAGGUGGGCGUGGUCUCUUGGGUGGGUGUGGUCCCCCAGGUGGGCGUGGUCCCUCAGGUGGGCGUGGUCCCCCAGGUGGGCGUGGUCUCUUGGGUGGGUGUGGUCCCCCAGGUGGGCGUGGUCCCUCAGGUGGGCGUGGCCCCCCAGGUGGGCGUGGUCUCUCAGGUGGGCGUGGUCCCCCAGGUGGGCGUGGUCUCUCAGGUGGGCGUGGUCUCUCAGGUGGGCGUGGUCUCUCAGGUGGGUGAG